rnacentral:rRNA from 1 species
GAUGAACGCUGGCGGCGUGCUUAACACAUGCAAGUCGAACGGAAAGGCCCAAGCUUGCUUGGGUACUCGAGUGGCGAACGGGUGAGUAACACGUGGGUGAUCUGCCCUGCACUUCGGGAUAAGCCUGGGAAACUGGGUCUAAUACCGGAUAGGACCACGUCUUGGAUGUUGUGGUGGAAAGUUUUUUCGGUGUGGGAUGAGCUCGCGGCCUAUCAGCUUGUUGGUGGGGUAAUGGCCUACCAAGGCGUCGACGGGUAGCCGGCCUGAGAGGGUGUACGGCAAGUGGGGGACGGAGACCGGGCCCAGCCCCGGGGGGGGGGGGGGAGGGGGAAAGUUUGCACAGGGGGCGCAAGCUGGAUGGCGCAAGGCCGGGGGGGGGAGGACGCCUUGGGGUUUGUAAACCCCUUUGGCGGGGGAAAAAGGUUUUUUGGGAGGGUCCGUGAAAAAGAGGCCCCGGCAAACUACGUC